rnacentral:rRNA from 1 species
GAUGAACGCUGGCGGCGUGCCUAAUACAUGCGAGUCGAACGCUAAAGGAGGAGCUUGCUCUUCUGGAUGAGUUGCGAACGGGUGAGUAACGCGUAGGUAACCUGCCUGGUAGCGGGGGAUAACUAUUGGAAACGAUAGCUAAUACCGCAUGACAACAGUUAUUGCAUGAUAACUGUUUAAAAGUGGCAACUGCUCCACUACCAGAUGGACCUGCGUUGUAUUAGCAAGUUGGUGAGGUAACGGCUCACCAAGGCGACGAUACAGAGCCGACCUGAGAGGGGGGGCAGCCAGCCUGGGAGGGUGACACGCCACAUAGGGCUAGGGGAGGGGGCAGGAGGGAAACGGGGGGAAGGGGCGGAAGACAGAGCGAGAAACGCGGAGGGAGGAAAGAAGGAUGUCGGGUCGGAAAGGUCGGUUGUAAGGGAAGAAAGAGUGUGAGCGUGGAAAGUUCACAGUGUGACGGUAACUGAUCAGAAAGGGACGGCUAACUACGUG